rnacentral:rRNA from 1 species
GACGGAGGAUGCAAGCGUUAUCCGGAAUUAUUGGGCGUAAAGCGUCCGCAGGUGGCUGUUCAAGUCUGCUGUCAAAGCGCAGAGCUUAACUCUGUACAGGCGGUGGAAACUGAAGAGCUAGAGUAUGGUAGGGGUAGAGGGAAUUCCCGGUGUAGCGGUGAAAUGCGUAGAUAUCGGGAAGAACACCAGUGGCGAAGGCGGCUACCUGGCCCAAUACUGACACUCAGGUGCGACAGCGUGGGGAGCAAACAGG